AAUGAACGCUGGCGGCAUGCCUUGCACAUGCAAGUCGAACGGCAGCAUGACAUGGCUUUCUAGGUUGAUGGCGAGUGGCGCACGGGUGAGUAAUGUAUCGGAACAUGCCUUUUAGCGGGGGAUAACGUAGCGAAAGUUACGCUAAUACAGCACAUUCUAUGAGGGGGAAAGCAGGGGACCUCCGGGCAUUGCGCUCGAAGAGAGGCCGAUGUCGGAUUAGCUAGUUGGUGAGGUAAAGGCUCACCAAGGCGACGAUCCGUAGCGGGUCUGAGAGGAUGAUCCGCCACACUGGGACUGAGACACGGCCCAGACUCCUACGGGAGGCAGCAGUGGGGAAUUUUGGACAAUGGGCGCAAGCCUGAUCCAGCCAUGCCGCGUGAGUGAAGAAGGCCUUCGGGUUGUAAAGCUCUUUCGUUUGGGAAGAAAUCGCGCCCUCUAAUACAGGGUGUUGAUGACGGUACCAGCAGAAGAAGCACCGGCUAACUACGUG
rnacentral:rRNA from 1 species